GCGCGCGGCAACGCUCUGGUGGAUACGGACAUCAGCGUCGCCGUCCCGCAGGGCACCUACGCGCGCAUCGCGCCACGGUCGAGGCUGGCGUGGAAGUACUCCAUCGACGUGGGCGCGGGCGUGGUGGACGCCGACUACCGGAGCACCGUCGGCGUCAUCCUCUUCAACCACUCCGGCGUCGACUUCGCCGUGAAGCCCAGGGACUGCGUGGCGCAGCUGGUCAUCGAUAGAAUCGCCACGCCCGGCGUGGCCGAGGUGAACGACCUUGAUGCCACCUUGAGGGGCGAGGGCGACUUCGUAUCCACCGGCGUUUGA
rnacentral:rRNA from 1 species